UAGGGAAUCUUCCACAAUGGACGCAAGUCUGAUGGAGCAACGCCGCGUGAGUGAAGAAGGUCUUCGGAUCGUAAAGCUCUGUUGUUGGUGAAGAAGGAUAGAGGCAGUAACUGGUCUUUAUUUGACGGUAAUCAACCAGAAAGUCACGGCUAACUACGUGCCAGCAGCCGCGGUAAUACGUAGGUGGCAAGCGUUGUCCGGAUUUAUUGGGCGUAAAGCGAGCGCAGGCGGAAUGAUAAGUCUGAUGUGAAAGCCCACGGCUCAACCGUGGAACUGCAUCGGAAACUGUCAUUCUUGGGUGCAGAAGAGGAGAGUGGAACUCCAUGUGUAGCGGUGGAAUGCGUAGAUAUAUGGAAGAACACCAGUGGCGAAGGCGGCUCUCUGGUCUGCAACUGACGCUGAGGCUCGAAAGCAUGGGUAGCGAACAGGAUUAGAUACCCUGGUAGUCCAUGCCGUAAACGAUGAGCGCUAGGUGUUGGGGACUUUCCGGUCCUCAGUGCCGCAGCAAACGCAUUAAGCGCUCCGCCUGGGGAGUACGACCGCAAGGUUGAAAC
rnacentral:rRNA from 1 species